rnacentral:rRNA from 1 species
AUACUCCACGCUGCACCUUACCCCCCCUUGCCACCCCAAUCUAUAUACCGCCGUCUCCAGCUCACAAUGUGAAUGCACCACCGUGAGCAAAAUCGUCAACCACUAAAACGACAGGUCAAGGUGUAGUUUAUGGGGGGGGAGAGAUGGGCUACAUUUUNUACACCAGAAAACACCACCCGCACCGUGAAACCUAUGUCCA